AUACGUAGAGAGCAAGCGUUGUCCGGAAUUACUGGGCGUAAAGGGUACGCAGGCGGAUAUACAAGUCGGAUGUGAAAGGUGCCGGCUCAACUGGCAGAGUGCAUUUGAAACUGUAUAUCUUGAGAGCAGGAGAGGAAAACGGAAUUCCUAGUGUAGCGGUGGAAUGCGUAGAUAUUAGGAAGAACACCAGUGGCGAAGGCGGUUUUCUGGUCUGCAACUGACGCUGAGGUACGAAAGCUGGGGGAGCGAACGGGAUUAGAUACCCCGGUAGUCCCAGCUGUAAACGAUGGACACUAGGUGUUGGGGGUUCGAAUCCUUCAGUGCCGGAGUUAACGCGAUAAGUGUCCCGCCUGGGGAAUACGACCGCAAGGUUGAA
rnacentral:rRNA from 1 species